rnacentral:rRNA from 1 species
AGAUUGAACGCUGGCGGCAGGCCUAACACAUGCAAGUCGAGCGGAUGAAGAGAGCUUGCUCUCUGAUUCAGCGGCGGACGGGUGAGUAAUGCCUAGGAAUCUGCCUGGUAGUGGGGGACAACGUUUCGAAAGGAACGCUAAUACCGCAUACGUCCUACGGGAGAAAGCAGGGGACCUUCGGGCCUUGCGCUAUCAGAUGAGCCUAGGUCGGAUUAGCUAGUUGGUGAGGUAAUGGCUCACCAAGGCGACGAUCCGUAACUGGUCUGAGAGGAUGAUCAGUCACACUGGAACUGAGACACGGUCCAGACUCCUACGGGAGGCAGCAGUGGGGAAUAGUUGGACAAUGGGACGAAAGCCUGAUCCAGCCAUGCCGCGUGUGUGAAGAAGGUCUUCGGAUUGUAAAGCUACGUUUUAAGUUGGGAGGAAGGCAAUUAAACCUAAUUACGUUAGUUGUUUAGUACGUUACGACAGAAUAAGCACGCUAACUUCGUG